rnacentral:rRNA from 1 species
UAUUCCCCACUGCUGCCUCCCGUAGGAGUCUGGGCCGUGUCUCAGUCCCAAUGUGGCCGUCCGCCCUCUCAGGCCGGCUACGCAUCGUCGCCUUGGUGGGCCGUUGCCCCGCCAACAAGCUAAUGCGCCACAGGCCCAUCCUUCAGCCGUCCCCGUAAGGACGUUUAACGUGGACGGGAUGUCCCGUCCGCGCCUAUGCGGUUCUUAGCAGCCGUUUCCAGCUGUUGUCCCCCUCUGAAGGGCAGGUUGCCCAUGUGCUACUCACCCGUUCGCCACUGAGCGCCGAAGCGCUCCGUCCGACUUGCAUGUAUUAGGCACGCCGCCAGCGUUCAUCCUGAGCCAA